UAAGGAAUAUUGGUCAAUGGAGGGAACUCUGAACCAGCCAUGCCGCGUGCAGGAAGACAGCCCUCUGGGUCGUAAACUGCUUUUAUUCGGGAAUAAACCUAUUUACGUGUAAAUAGCUGAAUGUACCGAAGGAAUAAGGAUCGGCUAACUCCGUGCCAGCAGCCGCGGUAAUACGGAGGAUCCAAGCGUUAUCCGGAUUUAUUGGGUUUAAAGGGUGCGUAGGCGGCUUAUUAAGUCAGGGGUGAAAGACGGUGGCUCAACCAUCGCAGUGCCCUUGAUACUGAUGAGCUUGAAUACACUAGAGGUAGGCGGAAUGUGACAAGUAGCGGUGAAAUGCAUAGAUAUGUCACAGAACACCGAUUGCGAAGGCAGCUUACUAUGGUGUGAUUGACGCUGAGGCACGAAAGCGUGGGGAUCAAACA
rnacentral:rRNA from 1 species